AUGGCAGGGAUGAUGACUUCUCUGCUCUUUUUUGAAAUAGUGCCAUAUAGGAUGAUUUGCAUCCAUCUAAGGGGGCAAGGGCCUCUGUUUAAUAUCUCAUCCAAAAAAAAGCACUCCAAUUGUGCAUCACUCCCUCAGUACUGCACUGGACUAGUGCUUUAAUUUUUGUAUUCAAUGGGCCAAAUGGCCGCCUUCUCUGCUAUAAAUGACUCUAUAAGUUCUGAAGGAACUUGAACCCACAACAUUGUGCUUCAAAUGUGAGAGUGCUACUAACUGAGCCAAGGACAUGGCUGACAAACAAUAUUUUAUGGUGAAUGCAACUGUCUCACUUAAAGAGUUGACACAAGAAGAUCAAAGUUAAACUUUGGCAUUUUGAGUAAGUUUGCAGUAAAAAUGAAAGCAAGGAGGGAAGUGGAGAAGCAUAAGAAGUGAUCCCUAUGAUGUGGUAAAGUGAUGUACGCUGUCCCUUUAAGAGACUGCAAGUGUACUGAUCAUGUGACAGCACUGACAAAUCACUGUGCACGUGGGCAACUAGAAAUUGUAAGUCUAGUUCUGGAAGUUUCUCAGUGAGCAUGUAUGACCUGGUGCUCUGUCUUAUGUCUCACUAAACCAUCACUGUUCAUUCUUAGAUCAGUCUCUCCCAUUUUUGACUGCAAGCAGCAAUUGAUGAGAACAUAGGAAGGUGUGCAGUUAGAGUUCGGUGGCCAAUUAACUCAUUUACCCAAGGCGAUGAGGAUAAAGAACAAAAAAUAAAUUUCAAGCUUGGAGGGGAGGGGCAGCAGCAGUGAAGAUGACUGCUCCCGGAAGAUGGUAAAAUCAUUCAUUGAGGGACAUAGUGGGCAACUGCCCCUGAAAAGGAGUUCUCUGAAACAUCAGCCGAGGUUGUUGGGCUACGAUGCUCAACUCGUCAAAGAUGGCUUCCUGAGAGACUCAACCUGUAAAUAGUUUUCAAAGUGAGUUUGUCUGACUGGAAUAUCUGAAGAGAAUAAGAUAAGCCAGGCAACAUCAUAGUUGGUGAAGAAAGGAUUUUAAACCACCUGUAUUUAAAAAAUGUUAAAUACAGGAAAAUGUUUGUCGGCUGUCAAAGCUUGAAUCACAGAAGCAAGUGCAACUUUCUAAACAUUUCUCUCAAACUGGAGAUCAAAUAUUAUUGAAGGAAACACAGCCCGAAUUUUUAAGGGCGCAAUGAAGGUUGUGAUUCUGUGUGGAUUAGAAAUGUGACAUUCCAACAAACUCACCGAAAGAGGUUCAAAACAGCUUCCAAUGUAAAUGCCUGCAAUACCUGAUCAUCAAAAGCUUCAACAGUGACAUAUGGAAGAGUACAUCAGGGAGCAUGGAUGCCACCAUUGACUAUAACUGUCUGGGAGAACAACUGGAUCUCUAUUGGUCACAUGUUGAGAAUGCCUGACACAAGGAUCUCCAAGCAAGUGUGAAAUUGAAGCCACAUGGGAAAAGAACGAGGGGUCAACCAAGAGGAAGUCUAUGCAAUAAAACUGUAACAGCUGCAGUGCAACAAUGGGACCUGGCAGCAAAAGCCUAAGACAUUAUUGGCUGGCAUCAAUUGUCUUAUGUGCCUCAACAGCACAGGAAGUAUGAUGGUGAUGAUGAUAUUAAAAGACUAAA